rnacentral:tRNA from 1 species
GGAGAGAUGCAGGAGUGGUUGAACUGGCCGCUCUCGAAAAGCGGUGUGGCCCCUGGUCACCGAGGGUUCGAAUCCCUCUCUCUCCGCCA